GCGAAAGCGAGUCUGAAUAGGGCGUCAAGUUCGUUGGAUUAGACCCGAAACCGAGUGAUCUAGCCAUGGCCAGGUUGAAGGUGCGGUAACACGCACUGGAGGACCGAACCCACGCCUGUUGAAAAAGUCGGGGAUGAGCUGUGGCUAGGGGUGAAAGGCCAAUCAAACUCGGAAAUAGCUGGUUCUCCGCGAAAUCUAUUUAGGUAGAGCGUCGGAUGAAUACUCUCGGGGGUAGAGCACUGGAUGGGCUAGGGGGCCCCAACGGCUUACCAAACCUAACCAAACUCCGAAUACCGAGGAGUACUAGAUGGCAGACACACUACGGGUGCUAAGGUCCGUAGUGGAGAGGGAAACAGCCCUGACCGCCAGCUAAGGUCCCUAAGUUAUCACUAAGUGGGAAACGAUGUGGGAGUGCUUAGACAACCAGGAGGUUGGCUUAGAAGCAGC
rnacentral:rRNA from 14 species